rnacentral:rRNA from 1 species
GACGAACGCUGGCGGCGUGCUUAACACAUGCAAGUCGAACGGAAAGGCCCUGCUUUUGUGGGGUGCUCGAGUGGCGAACGGGUGAGUAACACGUGAGUAACCUGCCCUUGACUUUGGGAUAACUUCAGGAAACUGGGGCUAAUACCGGAUAGGAGCUCCUGCUGCAUGGUGGGGGUUGGAAAGUUUCGGCGGUUGGGGAUGGACUCGCGGCUUAUCAGCUUGUUGGUGGGGUAGUGGCUUACCAAGGCUUUGACGGGUAGCCGGCCUGAGAGGGUGACCGGCAACAGUGGGACUGAGGUACGGCCCAGACGCCUACGGGAGGCAGCAGUGGGGAAUAGUGCACAAUGGGCGGAAGCCGGAUGCAGCAACGCCGCGUGCGGGAGGACGGCCUUCGGGGUGUAAACCGAUUUCGCCUGUGACGAAGCGUGAGUGACUGUAAUGGGUAAAGAAGCACCGGCUAACUACGU